rnacentral:rRNA from 1 species
GAUGAACGCUGGCGGCGUGCCUAAUACAUGCAAGUCGAGCGAAUGGAUUAAGAGCUUGCUCUUAUGAAGUUAGCGGCGGACGGGUGAGUAACACGUGGGUAACCUGCCCAUAAGACUGGGAUAACUCCGGGAAACCGGGGCUAAUACCGGAUAACAUUUUGAACCGCAUGGUUCGAAAUUGAAAGGCGGCUUCGGCUGUCACUUAUGGAUGGACCCGCGUCGCAUUAGCUAGUUGGUGAGGUAACGGCUCACCAAGGCAACGAUGCGUAGCCGACCUGGGAGGGUGAUCGGCCACACUGGGACGGAGACACGGCCCAGACUCCUACGGGAGGCAGCAGUAGGGAAUCUUCCGCAAUGGACGAAAUUCUGACGGAGCAACGCCGCGUGAGUGAUGAAGGCUUUCGGGUCGUAAAACUCUGUUGUUAGGGAAGAACAAGUGCUAGUUGAAUAAGCUGACACCUUGACGGUACCUAACCAGAAAGCCACGGCUAACUACGUGCCAGCAGCCGCGGUAA